ensembl:lncRNA
CAGCUGCACACCGCGCACUCCAACGGGGGCCAAGUGGACGCGCACGCCGCUCUAGUCCAACAGGAUGUGACAGGAAAUAACAACACAGUAGAGGCUGCAGACAUACCAACUGAGCCAGCCCAGCAUUGAGUCCACCGCGCUGGCGCUGGCCGCGCCCCCGGCCCUGCUCGGCCCCGCCCAGCCCGGGGAGCUCCGCCCCGAGACCCUGAUCCAGUGCCAGCAGAUCGUCAAGGUGAUCGUGGUGGACCAGAGCGGGCGGGGCCGGAUGGAGGCCUUCCUGAGCCAGACGCCUGCGUCCCACCGCCUCAUCCAGUCCGCCAUGUCCACCCCGGUGCGCGUCCGCGACACGGGGGACGGCCCCCAGCCGCCGCUGCCCCCGCCCCCACCGCCCUACAACCACCCCACCAGUUCUGCCCCC